AUUUCUGCCCACACCCUGCAGGGGUGAAUGGGGACAGACCCUCUUUCCCACAGCCCACCGGCUGCUCUGCCUUGGCUGCCUUCUCUCCAAAGGACCUCUCCAUCUGGGACACAGGGCUGCUGAGGCAGCCCCACCUUCCUGGAUGUACCGUGGAGACAAAGAUACAAACUGCAAAUAUGUGUGAGAUUCAACACACACAAGAUUCACACCCAUCAGGCAUGUAAGAAUUUCUACAACUUGGCAAGAGAAAUGAACAACCCAACAGAAAACAGCCACGAAAUCUCAGUAACCACCGCACAAAGUGGAAAAGGACAGACACCACGACCGAGGACAGCCCAGCGGCCGCUGUGAGGUACCUCCGUGACGACGCCGGCGGCCACCGUGGAGCCGCUGUAGCGCAGCAUGAACCUCCCCAGCUCCUUGAAGUCUUUGUACAGCUCCAGCGCGACUGGUCUCUGCGUCUGCAGCUCCACCAGCGCGUUCUGGCCUUUAGUCAGCAAUCUGUCGAGAAAAAAGAAAGGAACCAAUGAAUAUCCAGCAGACGUGAAGAAAUGUAGUUAACAACCUGAAAAAUAAACAUUAUACAAUGAUCAAAGCAACUCAGUCUUUCAAAAAUUUAAAAAGAAAAAAAAUGCAUCUUAAAAUGAAAA